GAUGAACGCUGGCGGCGUGCCUAAUACAUGCAAGUCGAGCGAAUGGAUUAAGAGCUUGCUCUUAUGAAGUUAGCGGCGGACGGGUGAGUAACACGUGGGUAACCUGCCCAUAAGACUGGGAUAACUCCGGGAAACCGGGGCUAAUACCGGAUAACAUUUUGAACCGCAUGGUUCGAAAUUGAAAGGCGGCUUCGGCUGUCACUUAUGGAUGGACCCGCGUCGCAUUAGCUAGUUGGUGAGGUAACGGCUCACCAAGGCAACGAUGCGUAGCCGACCUGAGAGGGUGAUCGGCCACACUGGGACGGAGACACGGCCCAGACUCCUUCGGGAGGCGGCAGUAGGGAAUCUGCCGCAAUUGACGAAAGUCUGACGUAGCAACGCCGCGUUAGUGAUGAAGGCUUUCGUGUCGUAAAACUCUGUUGUUAGUGAAGAACAAGUGCUAGUUGAAUAAGCUGGCACCUUGACGGUACCUAACCAGAAAGCCACGGCUAACUACGUGCCAGCCGCCGCAGUAA
rnacentral:rRNA from 1 species